UACGGGGGGGGCAAGCGUUGUUCGGAAUUACUGGGCGUAAAGGGUGCGUAGGCGGCUUUCUAAGUUGGAUGUGAAAACUAUGGGCUCAACCCAUAGCCUGCAUCCAAAACUGGAGAGCUUGGGUUCUGGAGGGGAAAGCGGAAUUCCUGGUGUAACGGUGAAAUGCGUAGAUAUCAGGAGGAACACCGGUGGCGAAGGCGGAUCUCUGGGCCUUACCUGACGCUGAGGCGCGAAAGCUAGGGGAGCGAACAGG
rnacentral:rRNA from 1 species